UAAACGAUGAGUGCUAGGUGUUGGGUCCUUUCCGGGACUCAGUGCCGUAGCUAACGCAUUAAGCACUCCGCCUGGGGAGGACGACCGCAAGGUUGAAACUCAAAGGAAUUGACGGGGGCCCGCACAAGCGGUGGAGCAUGUUGUUUAAUUCGAAGCAACGCGAAGAACCUUACCAGGUCUUGACAUCCCUCUGACCGCUCUAGAGAUAGAGUUUUCCUUCGGGACAGAGGUGACAGGUGGUGCAUGGUUGUCGUCAGCUCGUGUCGUGAGAUGUUGGGUUAAGUCCCGCAACGAGCGCAACCCCUAUUGUUAGUUGCCAUCAUUCAGUUGGGCACUCUAGCGAGACUGCCGGUAAUAAACCGGAGGAAGGUGGGGAUGACGUCAAAUCAUCAUGCCCCUUAUGACCUGGGCUACACACGUGCUACAAUGGUUGGUACAACGAGUUGCGAGUCGGUGACGGCAAGCUAAUCUCUUAAAGCCAAUCUCAGUUCGGAUUGUAGGCUGCAACUCGCCUACAUGAAGUCGGAAUCGCUAGUAAUCGCGGAUCAGCACGCCGCGGUGAAUACGUUCCCGGGCCUUGUACACACCGCCCGUCACACCACGAGAGUUUGUAACACCCGAAGUCGGUGAGGUAACCUUUUAGGAGCCAGCCGCCUAAGGUGGGAUAGAUGAUUGGGGUGAAGUCGUAACAAGGUAGCCGUAUCGGAAGGUGCGGCUG
rnacentral:rRNA from 1 species